rnacentral:rRNA from 1 species
UACGUAGGUGGCAAGCGUUGUCCGGAUUUAUUGGGUUUAAAGGGUGCGUAGGCGGCCUAUUAAGUCAGUGGUGAAAUAUCUCAGCUCAACUGAGAGUGUGCCAAUGAUACUGAUGGGCUUGAGUACAGAUGAGGUAGGCGGAAUUGACGGUGUAGCGGUGAAAUACUUAGAUAUCGUCAAGAACACCUAUAGCGAAGGCAGCUUACUAGGCUGUAACUGACGCUGAGGCACGAAAAGUGUGGGGAUCAAACAGG